GGGUUGUGAGGUUAAGCGACUAAGCGUACACGGUGGAUGCCCUGGCAGUCAGAGGCGAUGAAGGACGUGCUAAUCUGCGAAAAGCGUCGGUAAGGUGAUAUGAACCGUUAUAACCGGCGAUGUCCGAAUGGGGAAACCCAGUGCAAUUCGUUGCACUAUCGUUAACUGAAUACAUAGGUUAACGAGGCGAACCGGGGGAACUGAAACAUCUAAGUACCCCGAGGAAAAGAAAUCAACCGAGAUUCCCCCAGUAGCGGCGAGCGAACGGGGAGCAGCCCAGAGUCUGAAUCAGCUUGUGUGUUAGUGGAACGGUCUGGAAAGUCCGACGGUACAGGGUGAUAGUCCCGUACACCAAAAUGCACAGGUUGUGAACUCGAAGAGUAGGGCGGGACACGUGGUAUCCUGUCUGAAUAUGGGGGGACCAUCCUCCAAGGCUAAAUACUCCUGACUGACCGAUAGUGAACCAGUACCGUGAGGGAAAGGCGAAAAGAACCCCGGCGAGGGGAGUGAAAAAGAACCUGAAACCGUGUACGUACAAGCAGUGGGAGCACCUUCGGGUGUGACUGCGUACCUUUUGUAUAAUGGGUCAGCGACUUAUAUUCUGUAGCAAGGUUAACCGUAUAGGGGAGCCGCAGGGAAACCGAGUCUUAACUGGGCGUUAAGUUGCAGGGUAUAGACCCGAAACCCGGUGAUCUAGCCAUGGGCAGGUUGAAGGUUGGGUAACACUAACUGGAGGACCGAACCGACUAAUGUUGAAAAAUUAGCGGAUGACUUGUGGCUGGGGGUGAAAGGCCAAUCAAACCGGGAGAUAGCUGGUUCUCCCCGAAAGCUAUUUAGGUAGCGCCUCGUGAAUUCAUCUUCGGGGGUAGAGCACUGUUUCGGCUAGGGGGUCAUCCCGACUUACCAACCCGAUGCAAACUACGAAUACCGAAGAAUGUUAUCACGGGAGACACACGGCGGGUGCUAACGUCCGUCGUGAAGAGGGAAACAACCCAGACCGCCAGCUAAGGUCCCAAAGUCAUGGUUAAGUGGGAAACGAUGUGGGAAGGCACAGACAGCCAGGAUGUUGGCUUAGAAGCAGCCAUCAUUUAAAGAAAGCGUAAUAGCUCACUGGUCGAGUCGGCCUGCGCGGAAGAUGUAACGGGGCUAAACCAUGCACCGAAGCUGCGGCAGCGACACUAUGUGUUGUUGGGUAGGGGAGCGUUCUGUAAGCCUGCGAAGGUGACCUGUGAGGGUUGCUGGAGGUAUCAGAAGUGCGAAUGCUGACAUAAGUAACGAUAAAGCGGGUGAAAAGCCCGCUCGCCGGAAGACCAAGGGUUCCUGUCCAACGUUAAUCGGGGCAGGGUGAGUCGACCCCUAAGGCGAGGCCGAAAGGCGUAGUCGAUGGGAAACAGGUUAAUAUUCCUGUACUUGGUGUUACUGCGAAGGGGGGACGGAGAAGGCUAUGUUAGCCGGGCGACGGUUGUCCCGGUUUAAGCAUGUAGGCUGGUUGUCCAGGCAAAUCCGGAUAAUCAAGGCUGAGGUGUGAUGACGAGGCACUACGGUGCUGAAGUAACAAAUGCCCUGCUUCCAGGAAAAGCCUCUAAGCAUCAGGUAACAUCAAAUCGUACCCCAAACCGACACAGGUGGUCAGGUAGAGAAUACCAAGGCGCUUGAGAGAACUCGGGUGAAGGAACUAGGCAAAAUGGUGCCGUAACUUCGGGAGAAGGCACGCUGGUGUGUAGGUGAAGUCCCUGCGGAUGGAGCUGAGACCAGUCGAAGAUACCAGCUGGCUGCAACUGUUUAUUAAAAACACAGCACUGUGCAAACACGAAAGUGGACGUAUACGGUGUGACGCCUGCCCGGUGCCGGAAGGUUAAUUGAUGGGGUUAUCCGUAAGGAGAAGCUCUUGAUCGAAGCCCCGGUAAACGGCGGCCGUAACUAUAACGGUCCUAAGGUAGCGAAAUUCCUUGUCGGGUAAGUUCCGACCUGCACGAAUGGCGUAAUGAUGGCCAGGCUGUCUCCACCCGAGACUCAGUGAAAUUGAACUCGCUGUGAAGAUGCAGUGUACCCGCGGCAAGACGGAAAGACCCCGUGAACCUUUACUAUAGCUUGACACUGAACAUUGAGCCUUGAUGUGUAGGAUAGGUGGGAGGCUUUGAAGCGUGGACGCCAGUCUGCGUGGAGCCAACCUUGAAAUACCACCCUUUAAUGUUUGAUGUUCUAACGUUGGCCCCUUACCGGGGUUGCGGACAGUGUCUGGUGGGUAGUUUGACUGGGGCGGUCUCCUCCCAAAGCGUAACGGAGGAGCACGAAGGUUAGCUAAUCCUGGUCGGACAUCAGGAGGUUAGUGCAAUGGCAUAAGCUAGCUUGACUGCGAGCGUGACGGCGCGAGCAGGUGCGAAAGCAGGUCAUAGUGAUCCGGUGGUUCUGAAUGGAAGGGCCAUCGCUCAACGGAUAAAAGGUACUCCGGGGAUAACAGGCUGAUACCGCCCAAGAGUUCAUAUCGACGGCGGUGUUUGGCACCUCGAUGUCGGCUCAUCACAUCCUGGGGCUGAAGUAGGUCCCAAGGGUAUGGCUGUUCGCCAUUUAAAGUGGUACGCGAGCUGGGUUUAGAACGUCGUGAGACAGUUCGGUCCCUAUCUGCCGUGGGCGCUGGAGAAUUGAGGGGGGCUGCUCCUAGUACGAGAGGACCGGAGUGGACGCAUCACUGGUGUUCGGGUUGUCAUGCCAAUGGCACUGCCCGGUAGCUAAAUGCGGAAGAGAUAAGUGCUGAAAGCAUCUAAGCACGAAACUUGCCCCGAGAUGAGUUCUCCCUGAGACU
rnacentral:rRNA from 1 species